rnacentral:rRNA from 1 species
GAUGAACGCUGGCGGCGUGCCUAAUACAUGCAAGUCGAGCGAACAGACGAGGAUCUUGCUCCUCUGACGUUAGCGGCGGACGGGUGAGUAACACGUGGAUAACCUACCUAUAAGACUGGGAUAACUUCGGGAAACCGGAGCUAAUACCGGAUAAUAUAUUGAACCGCAUGGUUCAAUAGUGAAAGACGGUUUUGCUGUCACUUAUAGAUGGAUCCGCGCCGCAUUAGCUAGUUGGUAAGGUAACGGCUUACCAAGGCUACGAUGCGUAGCCGACCUGAGAGGGUGAUCGGCCACACUGGAACUGAGACACGGUCCAGACUCCUACGGGAGGCAGCAGUAGGGAAUCUUACGCAAUGGGCGAGAGCUUGACGGAGCAACGCCGCGUGAGUGAUGAAGGUCUUCGGAUCGUAAAACUCUGUUAUUAGGGAAGAACAAAUGUGUAAGUAACUAUGCACGUCUUGACGGUACCUAAUCAGAAAGCCACGGCUAACUACGUG